UAGAAGCACGAGAAGUAAAUACCAUUUUAUUAUAAAAAUUAGAAACUGUUAGUACAAGCAUGCAGCAUAUGCUACGACAACACAUAAAUUUACAAGAGUCGCUAAUUUUUUUCAUCAUCAUCUGACAACCUUAUUCGAAAGUUGUAGCAACUAUAGUCCUAAAUCUCAGGCCACUACGUAAAACUGUCCACAAGAUCAAAAAACCAUAAUGACUAUCAAUCACAAAGCCUUUUCAAAUAUCUCUGAAUAUGUAAAGCCUCGCAUUAAAGCCAACACUAAUUUCAUUCCUGGACUGUUCAGUAAAGGGACAAGGUUUCGUAGCCAACUUUGACUUUAGGCUGGGAAUCCUGAUCAUACACUGCUCCAUAUAGUUAUAAAACAUAGGGGAACAUUAAGAAAUAAGGUUUCUCUUUCAGGAUUGAAGGACCCAAUAUGCAUCCCUUCAUUUCAGGUUUAUAGCUCACUCAUAUAACUCCCCAGUCAUCUCCAGUUUGAGUUGUGCGAGAUAAAGAACGCAAAAUCAGGAUGAUUUACUUGCUUUUGCCUAAGCCAGUUGUCAGCAGCCCGUAACAGGGAAUUGACCUUUUGACAUUCAUAAGCUCCAUUCGGGUUCCAAAAAGAAACUUUAAACUUGUAGGAAGCCAGACCAAAUGUAUGCAAAGGUAGCUUGAAUGACAUAUCAGCACAGGGAAUCCCCCUAACACUAGAACCAUGAAGGUGCAACUCAUCGGCAUUCUGAUUCUGAAAGGGUGUUGAUAAAGAAUGGAAGGUUAAAAAGCAGGCAUCCAGAUUCUGCAGCGUUUGACCCACGGGGAUCCUGUAUAUGGGAUACCAUGCAACAGCAAUCCAACUUGAGGGUGACAGAUCACAGCUCCUAUAUGUCUUGAGUUCUGGAAACUGAGUCGCAAGAUCUGAGAUCUUGUCAGCCAAUGGUUGACGAGUAAAUGGUGAAGCGUGCUCCAUGUAUUGAAAAACAAGAUGACCUGAAGGUUUGGAAAUCUCACAUUCAUCACUUGAUGAACCUCUGACAGGUUUAUUUCUCAGUGAGAGUCUAUUCAAACUCUGAAUAUUUGCAUCUGUAAUAUUUUGCUGAAUCCAAGAGCCCCAAGCACCAUUGUUUACUCCCCUCUCUGCUCUGUAGUCACUGCUACCAUCACUACUGGUUUCCCUGGAUGACUCAGCAUCACUUUCCUCACCAGGCCUCCUUAGCCUUGGACAGGGUCUUGAUGGGUCUAUAUACAGCUGAAUGCCAGACAAGGAAGGAACAUAGUACUGCAUAACAGUUUCGCUUCCAUUUAACAGAAGGGGAACACCCGCACCAUACGCACUCCACUCUUUAAAAGAUUCCCAUAGAUCACCCAGCAUAUAGUAUGGGUAAUACUCUGCUUCACGAUUUCUCCAUCCCAUAAUGCUUGUCUUUGGCAAAUAUUGGGCAGGAACCACAGGAGUAGUGUACUCCAAGAACCGAUCUAAAUUUGUUGAAUUACCCUCGCCCCCUACCCGUGCCGAAGCCGAACAAUUUGACAUCGAUGAGGACGAAGAUAACGAAACACAUUGAUCUGACUCCGCUCUCUUCUCCAUAGCCGCCGUACAAUUCUUGGAAAUCAACGACCCCUGCUUCUGCCGCUGGUCCUGCUUU
rnacentral:misc_RNA from 1 species